UGCGGUCAAGUUAGAAAGGGCACACGGUGGAUGCCUUGGCGCCAGGAGGCGAUGAAGGGCGUGGCUAACUGCGAUAAGCCCCGGGUAGCUGUAAGCAAGCGAUGAUCCGGGGAUUCCCGAAUGGGGCAACCCACUGGGGCAAACCCCCAGUAUCCUCCGCAAGGAGGAGGCGAACCGGGGGAACUGAAACAUCUCAGUACCCCGAGGAAAAGAAAGAAAACUCGAUUCCCCAAGUAGCGGCGAGCGAACGGGGAGGAGCCCAAACCCAGAGAGUGCCAAAGCCCCUGGGCGUUGCUCUCUGGGGGUAGCGGGACACAGAAGGGCCAAGCCAGGGUGCGGCCAGAGAGUUACAAAAGAGCGUCCGAGCCGAAGAGGACUGGAAAGCCUCGCCAGAGAGGGUGAUAGCCCCGUAGGCGAAGGACAGCUCUCUCUCGGUUCUGUGUUCCCAAGUACCACGGUCCACGCGGAAUUCCGUGGGAAUCUGGGAGGACCACCUCCUAAGGCUAAAUACUCCCUGGCGACCGAUAGUGCACCAGUACCGUGAGGGAAAGGUGAAAAGAACCCCGGGAGGGGAGUGAAAUAGAACCUGAAACCGUGUGUCCACAAUACGUGGAAGGACCAUGGUAUGGACGUAGUCCAUAUCGGUUCGACUGCGUGCCUUUUGGAGAAUGAGCCGGCGAGUUACGGGAGCUGGCAAGGUUAAGCACUUAAGGUGCGGAGCCGUAGGGAAACCGAGUCCGAACAGGGCGCAGAGUCAGCUUCCGUAGACCCGAAGCCAGGUGAUCUACCCAUGGCCAGGGUGAAGUGGGGAUAAAACCCCAUGGAGGCCCGAACCGGUGUGGGUUGCAAACCGCUCGGAUGAGCUGUGGGUAGGGGUGAAAGGCCAAUCAAACCUGGAGAUAGCUGGUUCUCCCCGAAAUAGCUUUAGGGCUAGCCUCCGGUGGUGAGGAGAGGGGGUAGAGCACUGGAUGGGCUAGGGGGCUUACCCGCCUACCAAACCCAACCAAACUCCGAAUACCUCUCCUUUGAGCCGGGGAGUCAGACCGCGGGGGAUAAGCUCCGUGGUCAAAAGGGGAACAGCCCAGACCGCCAGCUAAGGCCCCCAAAUGCAGGCUAAGUGGUAAAGGUGGUGGCGUUGCUGUGACAGCCAGGAGGUUGGCUUAGAAGCAGCCAUCCUUUAAAAAGUGCGUAAUAGCUUACUGGUCUAGCGACGCUGCGCCGAAAAAUUCUCGGGGCUCAAGCCUGCUGCCGAAGCUGCGGAAUGCAAAAGGUUUUGCCUUUUGCAUUGGUAGGGGAGCGUUGGGUAGGCCGUUGAAGCGGGACCGUGAGGACCCGUGGAGGUAUCCCAAGUGAGAAUGCCGGCAUGAGUAGCGUUAAAGAGGGUGAGAAUCCCUCUCGCCGUAAGCCUAAGGUUUCCUGGGGAAGGUUCGUCCGCCCAGGGUAAGUCGGAUCCUAAGCCGAGGCCGAAAGGCGUAGGUGAUGGGCAGCCGGUUAAUAUUCCGGCACUACCUGCCACCGUUUGAGGAUGGGGGGACGCAGGAGGGUAGGCGAGCAGCCUGGAGGAAUAGGCUGUCUAAGCCCGUAGGCGGAGGGAGGAGGCAAAUCCCUUCCCUCGUCAACGCCGAGAGGUGAUGGGGAGCCCCUUUUUGGGGCGAACUCGCUGAUCCCACACUGCCGAGAAAAGCCCCUAACGAUGGGCGGCAGGUAUCCGUACCGCAAACCGACACUGGUAGGUGGGAUGAACAUUCUAAGGCGCGCGAGUGAUCCCCCGUUAAGGAACUCGGCAAUCUGACCCCGUAACUUCGGGAGAAGGGGUGCCCCACUAAGGUGAGGAGGCUUGCCCUCUGAGCCUGAAGGGGUCGCAGGGAAUCGGCCCUGGCGACUGUUUACUAAAAACACAGGGCUCUGCUAAGCCGUAAGGCGACGUAUAGGGCCUGACGCCUGCCCAGUGCUGGAAGGUUAAGGGGAGGGGUUAGCCUAUGGGUUCUCCUGUAGGCGAAGCUCCAAACCGAAGCCCCAGUAAACGGCGGCCGUAACUAUAACGGUCCUAAGGUAGCGAAAUUCCUUGUCGGGUAAGUUCCGACCCGCAUGAAUGGCGUAACGACUGGGGCGCUGUCUCGACGGGGGGCUCGGCGAAGUUUCAAUGCAAGUGCAGAUGCUUGCUACCCGCGACUAGACGGAAAGACCCCGUGAACCUUUACUGCAGCCUGAUAUUGAAUCCGGGUGUGUCUUGUGCAGGAUAGGUGGGAGGCGGAGAAGUGGGGGCGCCAGCUCCCAUGGAGCCACCCUUGAGAUACCACCCUUGACAUAUCCAGAUUCUCACCUGCGGGAGUCAUCCUCCCGAGGGACAGUGUCAGGUGGGCAGUUUGACUGGGGCGGUCGCCUCCUAAAAGGUAACGGAGGCGCCCUAAGGUUCCCUCAGCACGAUUGGAAACCGUGUGGUGAGUGUAAGGGCAUAAGGGAGCCUGACUGCGAGAGGGACGCCUCGAGCAGGGACGAAAGUCGGGCCUAGUGAUCCGGUGGUGCCGUGUGGAAGGGCCAUCGCUCAACGGAUAAAAGGUACUCCGGGGAUAACAGGCUGGUCUCCCCCAAGAGUCCACAUCGACGGGGAGGAUCGGCACCUCGAUGUCGGCUCGUCGCAUCCUGGGGCUGGAGCAGGUCCCAAGGGUUGGGCUGUUCGCCCAUUAAAGCGGUACGCGAGCUGGGUUUAGAACGUCGUGAGACAGUUCGGUCCCUAUCUGUCGCGGGCGCAGGAUACCUGAGGGGAGCUGUCCCUAGUACGAGAGGACCGGGAUGGACGGACCUCCAGUGUUCCAGUUGUCCUGCCAGGGGCAUCGCUGGGUAGCUGUGUCCGGAUGGGAUAAGCGCUGAAAGCAUCUAAGCGCGAAGCCCACCCCAAGAUGAGGUAUCCCACUGGGUCGACCAGGUAAGACCCCGGGAAGAUGACCCGGUUGAUAGGCCCCAGGUGUAAGGGUGGCAACACCUUGAGCCGAGGGGUACUAAUAGGUCGAGGACUUGACCGCAA
rnacentral:rRNA from 1 species